CUAUCUACAGGCUUAACACAUGCAAGUCGAGGGGCAGCAUGGUCUUAGCUUGCUAAGGCCGAUGGCGACCGGCGCACGGGUGAGUAACACGUAUCCAACCUGCCGUCUACUCUUGGACAGCCUUCUGAAAGGAAGAUUAAUACAAGAUGGCAUCAUGAGUCCGCAUGUUCACAUGAUUAAAGGUAUUCCGGUAGACGAUGGGGAUGCGUUCCAUUAGAUAGUAGGCGGGGUAACGGCCCACCUAGUCUUCGAUGGAUAGGGGUUCUGAGAGGAAGGUCCCCCACAUUGGAACUGAGACACGGUCCAAACUCCUACGGGAGGCAGCAGUGAGGAAUAUUGGUCAAUGGGCGAGAGCCUGAACCAGCCAAGUAGCGUGAAGGAUGACUGCCCUAUGGGUUGUAAACUUCUUUUAUAAAGGAAUAAAGUCGGGUAUGGAUACCCGUUUGCAUGUACUUUAUGAAUAAGGAUCGGCUAACUCCGUGCCAGCAGCCGCGGUAAUACGGAGGAUCCGAGCGUUAUCCGGAUUUAUUGGGUUUAAAGGGAGCGUAGAUGGAUGUUUAAGUCAGUUGUGAAAGUUUGCGGCUCAACCGUAAAAUUGCAGUUGAUACUGGAUAUCUUGAGUGCAGUUGAGGCAGGCGGAAUUCGUGGUGUAGCGGUGAAAUGCUUAGAUAUCACGAAGAACUCCGAUUGCGAAGGCAGCCUGCUAAGCUGCAACUGACAUUGAGGCUCGAAAGUGUGGGUAUCAAACAGGAUUAGAUACCCUGGUAGUCCACACGGUAAACGAUGAAUACUCGCUGUUUGCGAUAUACUGCAAGCGGCCAAGCGAAAGCGUUAAGUAUUCCACCUGGGGAGUACGCCGGCAACGGUGAAACUCAAAGGAAUUGACGGGGGCCCGCACAAGCGGAGGAACAUGUGGUUUAAUUCGAUGAUACGCGAGGAACCUUACCCGGGCUUAAAUUGCAGAUGAAUUACGGUGAAAGCCGUAAGCCGCAAGGCAUCUGUGAAGGUGCUGCAUGGUUGUCGUCAGCUCGUGCCGUGAGGUGUCGGCUUAAGUGUCAUAACGAGCGCAACCCUUGUUGUCAGUUACUAACAGGUUCCGCUGAGGACUCUGACAAGACCGCCAUCGUAAGAUGUGAGGAAGGUGGGGAUGACGUCAAAUCAGCACGGCCCUUACGUCCGGGGCUACACACGUGUUACAAUGGGGGGUACAGAGGGCCGCUACCACGCGAGUGGAUGCCAAUCCCCAAAACCUCUCUCAGUUCGGACUGGAGUCUGCAACCCGACUCCACGAAGCUGGAUUCGCUAGUAAUCGCGCAUCAGCCACGGCGCGGUGAAUACGUUCCCGGGCCUUGUACACACCGCCCGUCAAGCCAUGGGAGCCGGGGGUACCUGAAGUGCGUAACCGCGAGGAGCGCCCUAGGGUAAAACUGGUGACUGGGGCUAAG
rnacentral:rRNA from 1 species